AACUCAUUGAAGUUCAAUGCAAAUUAGCACAAUCGUGUGAUCUGUGCAACAUGGUUGUUGGUGGUGCAAGGAGAGGACAGCCGAGGUGUCUACCUUAGGAGCACUCCUCGGCGUCCUCCUUGCACCACUGACACCCAUAGUUGCUUUUAUAAGGGCACGAAGAUGGCCAGAAAAACCGGCUGCAGCUAUAUGUUUCCUUUCUUCUUCUUCUUCUUGUUUCCUUCUUUUCUCUGUACAUCAUUAUUUCUUUGUGGGAAGAUAUAUAGAUCCUUUUUCUAUUUUGGCUGGGUAAUUCGGGAUGGAAAUUAAUAUAUUUCCCAUCUUCUUAAAUGAUGAAGGCGUGGUUCAAAGUUGCACUGUUGCGGAGGCCAUGAUUCUCUACAUUGGUCACAUUUCAAGCAAUAUGGCGUACAAUAUAGAAGAGAUUCCAUGCUAAAAUAAUAAGCAAAUCAAAUGUUCCAAGGCGAUAUGUCUUACAUUCGCCACACGGCUAGAAACUUAUGUUAUACUUCAAUAUGUUGUUUUGCUUCUUGGAUUAUUGCUUUGUGUCUCACGUGAAUUGUUUCAAUGACAAAUUGAAAUGUGAAAGUGGCCAAAGAAGCUUAAUUUGGUGCAGCAGUCAAUAUUGAGAAUCUAAAAAUUAGAUGUUCAGAAUUUAA